rnacentral:lncRNA from 1 species
GUACCGGGUACCUGUGACGCUGUGGCCGUUUUGUGUCAACAUGCAGUCUGUGCCCCAGCAACUGGAGCGCUGGACGGGCCGUCGAGGGCCUGCGUGCCCUUUGCUCCUUGGGGGGCACGGCGCUGGGACCCAGGAGGACCCGGCUUGAGUCCUGGACAUGCGGAUUUCUAGAGUCAGGCAGGGGAGGCAUCCGGCCUCUGGAAGGCUGGGCUUCAGAGCCGCCUCUCCCUCUGCCGACUGCCUGCCUGCCUGCCUGCCUGCCUGCCUGCCUGCCUGUGCCAAGAAGCCUACCCGAAUCGAGGGAAGAGAGAACGAUGCCGGGAGCGCCUUAACUUCACGCCGGGCGCAAGGCGGAAGGGGGCCGAUUGGUUGACAGCCGGCUGCCUUGCCUUAAGGAGCAGGGCGUCUGAUGUCAAGCCGCCUCUCCCUCUGCCGACUGCCUGCCUGCCUGCCUGCCUGCCUGCCUGCCUGUGCCAAGAAGCCUACCCGAAUCGAGGGAAGAGAGAACGAUGCCCGGGAGCGCCUUAACUUCACGCCGGGCGCAAGGGCGGAAGGGGGCCGAUUGGUUGACAGCCGGCUGCCUUGCCUUAAGAAGCAGGGCGUCUGAUGUCAGUGAGUGGGGCGGUUUCGUUGGGGGCGAGAGGCCUGGCCGACCUUGCGAGGGUCUUCCCA